UGGGGAAUAUUGCACAAUGGGCGCAAGCCUGAUGCAGCCAUGCCGCGUGUGUGAAGAAGGCCUUCGGGUUGUAAAGCACUUUCAGCGGGGAGGAAGGCGAUAAGGUUAAUAACCUUGUCGAUUGACGUUACCCGCAGAAGAAGCACCGGCUAACUCCGUGCCAGCAGCCGCGGUAAUACGGAGGGUGCAAGCGUUAAUCGGAUUUACUGGGCGUAAAGCGCACGCAGGCGGUCUGUCAAGUCGGAUGUGAAAUCCCCGGGCUCAACCUGGGAACUGCAUUCGAAACUGGCAGGCUAGAGUCUUGUAGAGGGGGGUAGAAUUCCAGGUGUAGCGGUGAAAUGCGUAGAGAUCUGGAGGAAUACCGGUGGCGAAGGCGGCCCCCUGGACGAAGACUGACGCUCAGGUGCGAAAGCGUGGGGAGCAAACAGG
rnacentral:rRNA from 1 species